AUACGUAGGGAGCGAGCGUUGUCCGGAAUUACUGGGUGUAAAGGGUGCGUAGGCGGGACUGCAAGUCAGAUGUGAAAUGCCGGGGCUCAACCCCGGAGCUGCAUUUGAAACUGUGGUUCUUGAGUGAGGUAGAGGUAAGCGGAAUUCCUAGUGUAGCGGUGAAAUGCGUAGAUAUUAGGAGGAACAUCGGUGGCGAAGGCGGCUUACUGGGCCUUUACUGACGCUGAGGCACGAAAGCGGGGGGAGCAAACAGGAUUAGAUACCCUGGUAGUCCACGCUGUAAACGAUGAUGACUAGGUGUGGGGGGACUGAACCCUUCCGUGCCGCAGUUAACACAAUAAGUCAUCCACCUGGGGAGUACGGCCGCAAGGUUGAAACUCAAAGGAAUUGGCGGGG
rnacentral:rRNA from 1 species